ACAGCAACCAUAUGCUCCAGAAAUUUUUAAUCCAUAUACUCUUUCAUGGGCUACAGUUCGGAACUCUAUACCAACAAUUUUUAAUCAAGCAUUGGGAACAACCAAAGAUUGCAAGGAGAACUCACGAGCACAUCCCUCCAAUUGAACCUCACCUUGCCGAGGCCGUGAGGACUUGGUCACCUUGCCGAAUGAACCACCACCUUGCUUUGCCAUGCAUAGACCUUUGCUGCUCACCCCGCUUGCAGAAGCCACUGAGCAGCAAGGAUUGUAACUCCUUGCAAGUAUAUACCCAAGCUUUACAGCAGCAAAAUCAUGCCACUGCCCUUGCCGAAGCCUACAAUGCCCAAGUGUCCAAAGCUUGAGACAAAUCUCCUCCAAACUGCUAGACUCCAGGCUGUGGAUCUCGACUCCGAGGAUGGCUCACGAAAUCAUCGCCGAGGGGAUACAAGGAUGCUCGUGGCUCCCUUUCCCAAGGCCACCUUCACAAAGAUCGAACCCAGCUUCAGAGUCAUGCCGAAGGGCUAUGCGGAAAGCUACGAAAGAGCGCGCGCAUGCACGGCCUCCUCCCGAUUGUACAGCCACAUUGCCGACUAUGCAGCCUCCUUACCGAAGCCCAGCCUCUUGCAAAUCGUCUGCUCCAAUUCCUUGGUCCUCUCCGUCGGUACCCAAAAGCUACAGCCAAGUUCUCAAGAUUUUUGCGGAACGGCAGGAUCCUAGGCACGUCGCUUUCAAAGCCUUGCCAAAUCUUCAAAGGCCCAGCUCAUUUGCCAUCAGUCGGUGACUUACCCAUGCUUCAGCUCAAAGCCGUAACCACCCUCCCGAGCGAGAUCUUGCCAAACACUUCUUGCCGAUCGGCACUAUGCUGAUAAAACAAGCCCAGGUCCCAAUAUGGGAUGAAAAGUCAGAACACCAAAUGGCACACCCAUUUGCUCAAGCCACCCAAGAGCAUUGAGACACGGCCAUCUCCAUGCUCAAGCCACCCAAGAAAUCCCCGACCUUUUCCUGCUUAGACCUGCCGAAGGUUGAUCACCAGCCACCAUUGCCGAACGGCAAGGGCCGUGGAUAAAUUGGAGGAAGGCUCACGGAAGAUCAGAGCUCCAAUUCUCCGUCUUGCCGAAGCAAGCCCACUUACAACAGCAACUCCAAACCUGCCGAAGAUGUGCUACCGAACGGCAGGUCCUGUGGAGAUCCUUGACCUUGCCGAAACUUUGCCAAACCCUCCCAAUCCACCCUUGCCGAACGGCAAGGGUUGAGCAGAUCCAAUUGAGAUCCUCGCCUCUAUGCCAACUCCUCACCGCAGCCAAGGACAAUGAAGAGGCCCCCGAAAUUUUCCAAAGGACCUUGCCGAACGGCAAAGGUUGUGGGGCACAAGUACACGGCUUAGCAAACGCCUCGCCGAAGGAUUUUUUGCAGCCUAGCUCUUGCCGAAGACACCCCACCUCUUGCAGAAACACUUGAGACCUCACGAAAUUGGCCAAAACUGCCGAAGGCCUCAGCUCCAAGUUCACACCAAAACUGCCGAAAGCCUCAGCUCCAAGUUCACGCCAAAACUGCCGAAGGCCUCACUCCAAACACUCCUGCCGAAGACAUCCGUGUAAGGACAACAACAUUACCCUCAACCCACCCUUGCCGUUCGGCAAGGGUUGAGCAAGUCAAAAGGUGGAUUCGAAAAGCACUUACCUAAACGAUCGCCGAAACACCCAGACCUGAGGACCCAGCUCCUACCGUCCGGCACGUCAGCCCCUGGCCCUUGCCACAGCUCCCAAGUGCUGAAGCCAAGCCAAGCCCCUCCUACCACAGCCUCGAAGUAAUCCCAACUCACAACUGCCGAACGGCAGGGGCUACGGGGAGCUAUUUAUCCUGCCCUCUAAGUUCCAAACCCUAGGAACUAAGUAUGCCAAGGAGACUUGCCGAAGCCCAACUCCAAACCCUAGCAACUAAGUCAACACUUGCCGAAGCCCCUAGCUGAAGAGUGCCCAGACCAACUUGCCGAAGACACCACAGGCACUACAAAAACUUUCAAUCAACCAUUGCCGUUCGGCAAGGGUUGUGCAGACAAUAGAAGGCCCAGCUCCAACUAAGGCUCGGCUCCAAAACAAACUCCUAAGGCCAAGCUCCGUACAUAAGCUUGGAGGCCCACGAAGUUGCGCCACGCCUCCUUUUUACCAAAGGCCCAAACCCAACCUCCUUCCAAGAAAGAUCUUGCUGAACACAAACUAAAAAAAAAAAAAAAAAAAAAAAAAAAGCCUUGCCGAACGGCAGGCACUAUGCAGAAGGAAUAAAGGGACUCGUAAAGUCCUCCCCAGGACACCUUUGCCGAAGCUUUAAGGCCCUAGCCCCCUACUGAAGGUACUUAGGCCCUAGAGAAAAUCAUUCCUACUGGACCAUGCCGAACGGCAAGGUCCAUGCUCAGGCCAUGGCUUACAUCACGACAGAUUUCUCUUGCCUAACCCCUUGCAGCUCAGCUUCACAGAGCACAAACCCCAGGCCUUUGCCAAAGCCCAGCUCAUGAGGCUCACGUACCAAGAACUUGGAAACUUGCAGGAUCAAGCCCUUCAAGUUCUUGUCGAAGCCUUGAAGGCCCAGCUCCAAGGACCAGCCCUUGUCAAAGCCCAACUUGCGCAGUCUUGGCCCCCCUUGCCGAUCGACAAUGGUCAUGUACAUGGCCCACUUGCCAAGCGCUCACUACUUGCCUCAACUCUCCACACCUGGGUUCACACAAGUUCAAGCGACCCAGCCUCCUUGCCAAAAGCCCAAACUUUGGCCACCAUGGUCCCAGCCUCUUGCUAUACGCCAAGCCAACUAUGGUACCCUUGCCGAACGAAAAGGGAUUCGCUCAGGCAAAGUGAUGUGCUAAUGGGUCUCUCUCAUUGCUGCAGCCAAGACCAGGCCCAGCCCCACGUGGCCCAGUGCAUCCUACUUGCCGAAACAUCGGGCCACAGCCACAAGGUACCUAAAAAAAAAAAAAAAAAAAAGAAGCUAUUAUUAUUAUUAUUUCUUCAAAUAAUAAUAAAAAAAUGCAUUCUUGCAUUUUUC
rnacentral:lncRNA from 1 species